UUCCCCCCCCACUCUUUCUCUCUCGCUCUCUCACACACACACACAAAUCUGCUGUCCCGUGUGAAUAGACAUUCUUUUCUCCCCUGACUUUAACCUCUCCCACAUUAUACAACAUCCCGAGACUGCCAGCUCCAGUAAGCCAGAAGGGGCUCAAAGUACGCWGCUGCUCAGAGUUUGUGAAGUAAGAGUAGAACAAUGAGUGGCCUGAACGGGGUGACCAGUUUCGUCCUUGCGGUUUCGGUGGCCUUCCUCGGUGGCCCUCCAGGGGCUCUUGGGGGCAACAUCCUCGUCUUCCCCUUGGAUGGCAGCCACUGGGUCAACAUGAACCUCCUGAUCGAGGGACUCCACGCCCGGGGUCACCAGAUUACUGUGGUGCGCUCGGCCAGCAGUUGGUACAUCAAGGAGUCGUCGCCCCACUACCGCUCUAUCUCCAUCACUGUGCCUGGGGGCAUGGACAUUGAAAAACAAGACUUCUUUGAGUCCUUCCUCGUCAAAAUGCUGSAGAUCCAAAGGGAAGGCAAUUCGCCUUUGGCUUUUGUGUCCUUCUACUCGUACAUYCUGUCGGCGUUGUCAGGAAUGCACCAGCAGGCCAGUCAGUUUGUGGUGGAGAUGUUUGAGAACAAGGCUUUGAUGCAGAGCCUGAGGGAUAGCCAGUACGACGUGGUACUCUUGGACCCGGGGCUGCCCGUCGGGGUCCUGGUCGCCCAUAAGCUUGGGCUACCCACUGUCUUCAAUGUUCGCUGGAUCACCAGCGGAGAGGGGCAUUUCGUGGUGGCCCCCUCGCCCGUGUCCUAUGUCCCCACCGCUGGUUAUGCCACUUCAGACCAAAUGACCUUCGGCCAGCGAGUUGGGAAUGUGUUCCUCUACCUCCUCAACAUGAUCAUUGAUGUGUUCGUGAUCAGCCCACACUACGAUAGGCUGGUGAAGAGAUACUUUGAGCCGGGCACAAACUUCUACCACCUUCUGCAGGGAACGGACAUCUGGCUCAUGCGGGUGGACUUUGUGUUUGAGUUCCCCCGGCCCACCAUGCCCAACAUUGUCUACAUUGGAGGCUUCCAAUGUAAACCCUCCAAACCUCUACCGACAGAGCUGGAGGAGUUUGUACAGAGCUCGGGAGAACACGGGGUUAUCMUGAUGUCACUGGGAACUCUUGUCAAAGGCUUGCCCGUGGAGAUCACCUCGGAGAUCGCCGCCGCUUUCGCCCAACUUCCCCAGAAGGUCAUCUGGAGGCACAUGGGCAAGCAACCCAUCGGCCUGGGCAACAACACCCUGCUGGUCAAGUGGAUGCCCCAAAACGACCUCCUGGGCCACCCCAAGGUCAAGGCCUUUGUGGCCCAUGGUGGCACCAAUGGCCUUUACGAAGCCAUGUACCACGGGGUGCCGGUGGUGGGGCUUCCGCUGCUCUUCGACCAGUUCGAGAAUGUCUUACGCCUGGAGGUGCGUGGAGCGGCCAAGGUGCUUGAAGUCACCAAGAUUUCCAGCCAGAGCUUCUUGGAGGCUGUACAGGAAGUCCUCCACGAUCCGUCCUACAGGACCAGUAUGGAGCGGCUCUCAAGCCUGCACCGGGACAAGCCCACGCAUCCUCUGGACACCGCCCUCUUCUGGAUCGAAUUUGUCAUGAGACACAAAGGGGCCGCCCACCUSCGAACAGAGUCUUACAAGAUGCCCUGGUACUCCUAUCAUUCACUGGAUGUGAUUGGAGUCCUACUGGCUGUUUUGUUUGUGCUGGUAGCCAUUACUGUGGGUUCAAUCCACUUCCUGUGCCUCAGACUAUGCAGGAAGCGUAAACCCAAACAGGAGUAAGGAUUGGCUCUUGAAUACAACAGGAAGUGACCUCAUUUCUUACCAUAUGACUGUAAACAGAUAAGUUCCCCUUUUUCCACUCAAACAUGUCUGUUGGUACUCAACAAGAUAACAACAGGAUAUCUUCAUGAAGUACCAGUGUUUUCUUUUUUGUUACACUGUAUAGGUUAACAUGUAUAAAGAGAGCUCACUUUGAUUUUUAGCAUAUAUUUUGRAUUACCAUUGUGCUUUAGCCUUAUAACUUUUUAACUCGUAUAGUGACUGGGAUGACUAUGAGCACUACAGUUUGAUUCUUUAUYAUUAAAUAAAAUGGUUAUAAAUAACGAUAUCUGGCACCUUUAUUGUGGUCUACCAUUUGCUGGGAGAUUUUAAGURACUGGUGUCUUAGACCUAGGACAGAAACAAUUCUAACCUGAGAUAUACACAUAUGAUAACAAUGCAUGAUUUAUGAAAAGUUCUCAAGUUCAAGAAUCCAGCCUAUUUGGAAUAGCAUUAAAAAAAUAUAUAUAUAUAUAUAUACAUACACAUGGAUGCAUACACAUGGACUAAUGGUUGUGUCAAAAUAGUUGAAAAUAUUGGUGGGAUAUUUACAUUAGGAUGAAAUUGGAGACUAUAAAAGUUKAUGGGAGUUUUUUCAAAUACUUCUUUCACAGAUCCAUCUG